GAUGAACGCUGGCGGCGUGCCUAAUACAUGCAAGUCGAGCGAACAGACGAGGAGCUUGCUCCUCUGACGUUAGCGGCGGACGGGUUAGUAACACGUGGAUAACCUACCUAUAAGACUGGGAUAACUUCGGGAAACCGGAGCUAAUACCGGAUAAUAUAUUGAACCGCAUGGUUCAAUAGUGAAAGACGGUUUUGCUGUCACUUAUAGAUGGAUCCGCGCCGCAUUAGCUAGUUGGUAAGGUAACGGCUUACCAAGGCAACGAUGCGUAGCCGACCUGAGAGGGUGAUCGGCCACACUGGAACUGAGACACGGUCCAGACUCCUACGGGAGGCAGCAGUAGGGAAUCUUCCGCAAUGGGCGAAAGCCUGACGGAGCAAUGCCGCGUGAGUGAUGAAGGUCUUCGGAUCGUAAAACUCUGUUAUUAGGGAAGAACAAAUGUGUAAGUAACUAUGCACGUCUUGACGGUACCUAAUCAGAAAGCCACGGCUAACUACGUG
rnacentral:rRNA from 1 species